UUUAACAACAUGAAGCUGGAGUGGAGGUCAAAGGUGAGGUCAUUUAGGGCAUUGUAGGCCACAUGGAUCAGCCAGAGUUCUGGCAGGAAAUGAAAAGCAUAAUUUAGUUGAGUUAUGUGGAGAGAGUUUUGAUGUGGGCCAGGCAUCGGAAAAGCAACAAGGGUUGCUUACCUGGCCACAGACCCCUUGGCUCACUCAACUCCACAAGUGGCCUGACUAGUUCUCCCAGUGGAAAGGAGCUAAAAUGAUGUGGGUCAUAUCAUCUCCUUUCGCUUGGGUGCAGGGGUUCUGAAUUACCAUGUACCUGGUUCCCUGAAUUACCAUGUACCUGCUUUGGACUUUCACCUCAGUGAAAAGUUUAUGGGAAUUCCUUUAAGAUUUCAGCAGAAAGCAUGGUGGCUUGGUUUGAAAUACAUCUGUACAAAAACAAAACAAGCAGCAACAAUAACGAUAGCAAACUGAGAUCUGGAUAAUGGAAGAAGCCAGCCACACAAAGAGGCAAGGGAAGAACAUUUCAUUUCGCAGAAAGAGUGUCCCCCACCUCUCUCCUUUUGGGUGUGCCAGAGAAGCCUGCAAUCCCACUGCUUCUAACAGCCUUCUUGUGACUGAGGUAAGAUAGUCUUUGGGGAGAAGCAGAUCAUAGAUAUGGCAGAAAAGGGAGAGAAAAUGGGUCUUGGUAAACCA
rnacentral:lncRNA from 1 species